ACACAAACCCUUCUCGUGACUGAGAAGUUCCAGGGCAUUCAGACACAACAAAUAUACAUCAAUAUCAGAGAUACCAAUCAAAGCAGUAAGAUGAAGAAGAAGGAAAAGAAGAAGGCACCCAAAUAUUUCUAUCGAGGUUCACCAAACAAUUGGGCUACGUCCUCGUCGAGCUCGCCUUAGAGAUUUGGCUAGCUCCUGCACUAUAUCAAUGGUGAUUACACAUAAUUUUUGAGAUUCUAAGUUACAGAAGAAUAACUGGACAUAAACUGGAAAAGCUUUUGAUGGGUUCUUGAAUCUCGCUUGGUAAUUUAUGAUCAGUGAACUUCUAUCUCUUUUUCCCUCCUUAUAUAUAUAUAUAUAUCCUUGUCUAUGUGAUUGGUAGAGAGUCGGUAUAAAGAAAAACUAUUGGAUAUUUUGUUGAGAGUUUGUUAUGUGUAAGUUGUAACUAAUUUGAGUCUUGGCUUAUGACUGGAUCCAAACAACAUGUAGCUUGCACCAUAGUGUUUCAAUCUGCUAGAAUUAAAGUUAUGGGUAGCCCUAUUGAGUUGUUGAGAAGAGUAUGACCGAAGUGGAUUGGAUUUCCAUUAAACAAAGGAAUGGUUUGCUCCAACACUGCAACUCCAUAUUCUUCAAAAAGAAACCAUUUUCCUGUGUAAUCAUAUUCUUUUUGUUUUUGUAACCUGAAAAUAUAAUAGAAGAAGAGUGAUUUAGAGGAAGAAGGGGAGCUGGAUACUAUUACUGGGUCUGGGUGGUCUCUCUGUUCUCAAUAUUCUCAUCUGGUUUGGUUUUUAGUUUCAAUUAAUUAAACACAUUGGUUGAGACACA